rnacentral:rRNA from 1 species
GAAUAUUGGUCAAUGGAGGAAACUCUGAACCAGCCAUCCCGCGUGAAGGACGACGGCCCUCUGGGUUGUAAACUUCUUUUAUUAGGGGAGAAACGCUCCGAUUCAUCGGAGCCUGACGGUACCUAAUGAAUAAGCACCGGCUAACUCCGUGCCAGCAGCCGCGGUAAUACGGAGGGUGCAAGCGUUAUCCGGAUUUACUGGGUUUAAAGGGUGCGCAGGCGGAUCUUUAAGUCAGUGGUGAAAGCCCAGAGCUCAACUUUGGAAUUGCCAUUGAUACUGGAGAUCUUGAAUAUGGUCGAGGUGGGCGGAAUGAGUCAUGUAGCGGUGAAAUGCUUAGAUAUGACUCAGAACACCGAUUGCGAAGGCAGCUUGCUAGACCAUUAUUGACGCUCAGGCACGAAAGCGUGGGGAGCGAACAGG